AACGAACGCUGGCGGCAUGCCUAACACAUGCAAGUCGAACGAGACCUUCGGGUCUAGUGGCGCACGGGUGCGUAACGCGUGGGAACCUGCCCUUAGGUUCGGAAUAACUCCCCGAAAGGGGUGCUAAUACCGGAUAAUGUCUUCGGACCAAAGAUUUAUCGCCUUUGGAUGGGCCCGCGUUGGAUUAGCUAGUUGGUAGGGUAAAAGCCUACCAAGGCGACGAUCCAUAGCUGGUCUGAAAGGAUGAUCAGCCACACUGGGACUGAGACACGGCCCAGACUCCUACGGGAGGCAGCAGUGGGGAAUAUUGGACAAUGGGCGAAAGCCUGAUCCAGCAAUGCCGCGUGAGUGAUGAAGGCCUUAGGGUUGUAAAGCUCUUUUACCCGGGAUGAUAAUGACAGUACCGGGAGAAUAAGCUCCGGCUAACUCCGU
rnacentral:rRNA from 1 species